CCUGCGUGCGCUUUACGCCCAGUAAUUCCGAUUAACGCUUGGACCCUACGUAUUACCGCGGCUGCUGGCACGUAGUUAGCCGGUCCUUAUUCUUCCGGUACCGUCAUCCACACCUAAUAUUAGUAAGUGCGAUUUCUUUCCGGACAAAAGUGCUUUACAACCCGAAGGCCUUCUUCACACACGCGGCAUUGCUGGAUCAGGGUUGCCCCCAUUGUCCAAAAUUCCCCACUGCUGCCUCCCGUAGGAGUCUGGGCCGUGUCUCAGUCCCAGUGUGGCUGAUCGUCCUCUCAGACCAGCUACUGAUCGUCGCCUUGGUGAGCCUUUACCUCACCAACUACUAAUCAGAMAUCGGCCGCUCCUAUAGCAKGAGGCCUUGCGGUCCCCCAACUUUCAACCCUCAGKUCGUAUGCSGUAUUAGCUAAUCUUUSGACUARUUAUCCCCCMACUACAGGGCACGUUCCGAUGUAUUACUCACCCGUUCGCCACUCGCCAUCAAUCUAGCAAGCUAGAUCAUGCUGCCGUUCGGCUUGCAUGUGUAAGGCAUGCCGCCAGCGUUCAAUCUGAGCCAGGAUCAAACUCUCCAA
rnacentral:rRNA from 1 species